AUUGAACGCUGGCGGCAGGCCUAACACAUGCAAGUCGAACGGUAGCACAGAGAGCUUGCUCUCGGGUGACGAGUGGCGGGCGGGUGAGUAAUGUCUGGGAAGCUGCCCGAGGGAGGGGGAUAACUACUACAAACGGUAGCUAUUAGCGCAUAACGACGAAGGACCAAAGCGGGGGGCAUUCGGGUCUCACACCUGCGGAGGUGCCAAGAUGGGAUGAGCUAGUAGGUGGGGUAAUGGCUCACCUAGGCGACGAUCCCUAGCUGGUCUGAGAGGAUGACCAGCCACACUGGAACUGAGACACGGUCCAGACUCCUACGGGAGGCAGCAGUGGGGAAUAUUGCACAAUGGGCGCAAGCCUGAUGCAGCCAUGCCGCGUGUAUGAAGAAGGCCUUCGGGUUGUAAAGUACUUUCAGCGGGGAGGAAGGCGGUGAAGUUAAUAACUUCACCGAUUGACGUUACCCGCAGAAGAAGCACCGGCUAACUCCGUGCCAGCAGCCGCGGUAA
rnacentral:rRNA from 1 species